AUAUUUUUAUUAUAUUUAGUAAUUUUAACUUCCAAUUAAAUAGUCCUUAAGGAAAAUAUU
rnacentral:tRNA from 1 species